AACGAACGCUGGCGGCAUGCCUAACACAUGCAAGUCGAACGAGACCUUCGGGUCUAGUGGCGCACGGGUGCGUAACGCGUGGGAACCUGCCCUUAGGUUCGGAAUAACUCCCCGAAAGGGGUGCUAAUACCGGAUAAUGUCUUCGGACCAAAGAUUUAUCGCCUUUGGAUGGGCCCGCGUUGGAUUAGCUAGUUGGUAGGGUAAAAGCCUACCAAGGCGACGAUCCAUAGCUGGUCUGAGAGGAUGAUCAGCCACACUGGGACUGAGACACGGCCCAGACUCUACGGGGAGGCGCCAGGGGGGAUUAUGGACCAUGGGCCGAAGCCUUAACCAGCCAUUGCGCGUGAGUGAUGAAGGCCUUAGGGUUGUAAAGCUCUUUUACCCGGGAUGAUAAUGACAGUACCGGGAGAAUAAGCUCCGGCUAACUCCGUG
rnacentral:rRNA from 1 species